AGUGAACGCUGGCGGUAGGCCUAACACAUGCAAGUCGAACGGCAGCACAGUAAGAGCUUGCUCUUACGGGUGGCGAGUGGCGGACGGGUGAGGAAUACAUCGGAAUCUACUUUUUCGUGGGGGAUAACGUAGGGAAACUUACGCUAAUACCGCAUACGACCUACGGGUGAAAGCAGGGGAUCUUCGGACCUUGCGCGAUUGAAUGAGCCGAUGUCGGAUUAGCUAGUUGGCGGGGUAAAGGCCCACCAAGGCGACGAUCCGUAGCUGGUCUGAGAGGAUGACCAGGCACAGUGGAACUGAGACACGUUCCAGACGCCGACGGGAGCCAGCAGUGGGGAAUAGUGGACAAUGGGCGCAAGCUUGAUCCAGCCAUACCGCGUGGGAGAAGAAGGCCUUCGGGUUGUAAAGCCCUUUUGUUGGGAAAGAAAAGCAGCAGGUUAAUACCCCGCUGUUCUGACGGUACCCAAAGAAUAAGCACCGGCUAACUUCGUG
rnacentral:rRNA from 1 species